GACGAACGCUGGCGGCGUGCUUAACACAUGCAAGUCGAACGGAAAGGCCCUGCUUUUGUGGGGUGCUCGAGUGGCGAACGGGUGAGUAACACGUGAGUAACCUGCCCUUGACUUUGGGAUAACUUCAGGAAACUGGGGCUAAUACCGGAUAGGAGCUCCUGCUGCAUGGUGGGGGUUGGAAAGUUUCGGCGGUUGGGGAUGGACUCGCGGCUUAUCAGCUUGUUGGUGGGGUAGUGGCUUACCAAGGCUUUGACGGGUAGCCGGCCUGAGAGGGUGACCGGCCACAUUGGGACUGAGAUACGGCCCAGACUCCUACGGGAGGCAGCAGUGGGGAAGAUUGCACAAUGGGCGGAAGCCUGAUGCAGCAACGCCGCGUGCGGGAUGACGGCCUUCGGGUUGUAAACCGCUUUCGCCUGUGACGAAGCGUGAGUGACGGUAAUGGGUAAAGAAACACCGGCUAACUACGU
rnacentral:rRNA from 1 species